UACGUAGGGGGCAAGCGUUGUCCGGAAUUAUUGGGCGUAAAGCGCGCGCAGGCGGCUUUGUAAGUCUAGUGUUUAAUCUCGGAGCUCAACUCCGAUUCGCACCGGAAACUGCAAGGCUUGAGUACAGAAGAGGAAAGUGGAAUUCCACGUGUAGCGGUGAAAUGCGUAGAGAUGUGGAGGAACACCAGUGGCGAAGGCGACUUUCUGGGCUGGUAACUGACGCUGAGGCGCGAAAAGCGUGGG
rnacentral:rRNA from 1 species